GCAUGAGGUCAGACAGUCAUCCAAGGAGAGAUGUCCAUCUUUCCUGGCACCCUGGGACACCUUCACACUCACCUUCACCUAAGGAAUGUUGAGGCAAGGUAAUUUAUUGUGAGCUUGAGAGCCUGCUGCCUGCAUCGCUUCAACAUUCAUGAAGCCAAAUCUCAGUGUCUCAGCGGAGCUGGCUCCUGGAGCUGCGGGGCUGUUUGUUCUGAAGGCAGCAGAAGGCCGAGUUUCCUCUGAUACCAAAGAGCUUCUGUGUGGUGACCCUCAUGUGACAUUUUUGCUGUGAAAUAGUCACACUACCUCUGCCCUAAGGUGCAAGAUGCCUCGCUACAGCCUGCCUACCUUGGAGGUCACAGUCAUUUUUAACAGGCUACCUCUCCCUUCUGCCUGCCAGUCAAGUCUACCAUCCCUGCCACAGUAGGAGGGGUUGAGCAAAGAGUUUAUUAGGUCAAUCCCCACCCCAACAUCUCUGUUCCUUUAAGGAUGCCCUGCUGUGAUCUCCUGCCCAGAGGCA
rnacentral:lncRNA from 1 species